AAAGCCCUAAUUAUCGUCAUACUCCGGCAGCGACUCGGCGACCAAUUUCGCGCUGGGAUUCAUCGUCAGACGUCAGUAUCCUUCUUCUUUCUCUGAUAAUUGGUAAAUCGUCACUUCUCUCUUCAGUCCUGAGUUCCACUUCUUCAUUCGCUAAAUCAAUCUUCUCAAUUCUCCUUCUCUUCUCCGAUCGGCGACCACGACACCAUUUCCUUCUUCCCGUAAACGAUCUCUUCUCAGCAAUUACGUUUCGGCGAUGGGAUAGGGCCGAUAGGCAGAGUCGCAGAGAGCCAGUCAGCUAGGGACAACCUCCGAUACUUCUUCACUCUUCUUCUUCUUCGUCAGACGUCCGAACCUUCUUCUUCUUCUUCAGAUCUAGCUUCUUCGACGAAGGAUUCUGAUGCGAUAGGGAGAGAAUCUCUCGAUUGCUGAUUGGUUGGCUUGCAGAUUGAAACCUGUGAUGCCUUCUGAGAGUCUCGGUUGCCAUGCCUUCUGAUGCUUUUAUCGCUGGUGGUAAAUUGCAGUCCUAAUUAAUCUCUGAGAAUCAAACUGAUAUAGCAGUAUCGAUGAAGUAUGACAACCUUCCUUCCAUAUGCCUUCCAGACCCUUUUGAUUUCAUUUAAUUAUGUUAUGGUAGUUUGUGUAAUGGCGUACUGUACCAAGGAAUUAGAUUGGUAUAUGUGUUGAGCAGGUUGAAGUUCUAGAAUUGUUACUCUAAUGGCGUUUGAAGUUUAAGAAUUGGAAUCAAGACUUCAGGAAGCCUAACUUAUGGGCGGUUUUCAAAAAAUGGCAUCAUAUAUGGAAAAUACAUUUUGUGGUACAAGUUUUAACUUACUUUAACGGAAACUGGUGAUCAAUAACCUUAUCUGUUAAAAAUAACGGAAAAAUUAAUUCCG
rnacentral:lncRNA from 1 species